CAAUAGCGUAUAUUUAAGUUGUUGCAGUUAAAAAGCUCGUAGUUGGAUUUCGGAUGGGACUUGCCGGUCCGUCGUUUCGAUGUGCACUGGCCAGUCCUAUCUUGUUGUCGGGGACUAGCUCCUGGGCUUCACUGUCCGGGACUAGGAGCUGACGAGGUUACUUUGAGUAAAUUAGAGUGUUCAAAGCAAGCCUACGCUCUGAAUACAUUAGCAUGGAAUAACACGAUAGGACUCUGGCUUAUCUUGUUGGUCUGUGAGACCAGAGUAAUGAUUAAGAGGGACAGUCGGGGGCAUUCGUAUUUCAUUGUCAGAGGUGAAAUUCUUGGAUUUAUGAAAGACGAACUUCUGCGAAAGCAUUUGUCAAGUAUGUUUUCAUUAA
rnacentral:rRNA from 1 species